UACGAAGGGGGCGAGCGUUGUUCGGAUUUACUGGGCGUAAAGCGCACGUAGGCGGCUUUGUAAGUUAGAGGUGAAAGCCCGGGGCUCAACUCCGGAAUUGCCUUUAAGACUGCAUCGCUCGAAUUGUGGAGAGGUAAGUGGAAUUCCGAGUGUAGAGGUGAAAUUCGUAGAUAUUCGGAAGAACACCAGUGGCGAAGGCGACUUACUGGACACAUAUUGACGCUGAGGUGCGAAAGCGUGGGGAGCAAACAGG
rnacentral:rRNA from 1 species